rnacentral:rRNA from 1 species
ACCCGAAACCAGGUGAUCUACCCUUGGUCAGGUUGAAGUUCAGGUAACACUGAAUGGAGGACCGAACCGACUUACGUUGAAAAGUGAGCGGAUGAACUGAGGGUAGCGGAGAAAUUCCAAUCGAACUUGGAGAUAGCUGGUUCUCUCCGAAAUAGCUUUAGGGCUAGCCUCAAGUGAUGAUUAUUGGAGGUAGAGCACUGUUUGGACGAGGGGCCCCUCUCGGGUUACCGAAUUCAGACAAACUCCGAAUGCCAAAUAAUUUAACUUGGGAGUCAGAAUGUGGGUGAUAAGGUCCAUAUUCGAAAGGGAAACAGCCCAGACCACCAGCUAAGGUCCCAAAAUAUAUGUUAAGUGGAAAAGGAUGUGGCGUUGCCCAGACAACUAGGAUGUUGGCUUAGAAGCAGCCAUCAUUUAAAGAGUGCGUAAUAGCUCACUAGUCGAGUGACACUGCGCCGAAAAUGUACCGGGGCUAAACAUAU